rnacentral:rRNA from 1 species
GCCGGCAGCUAGCUCUCUGCAACUCUCACAUGGUCGCCCACUGAAACUAAGCAGGGCUGCGCCCGGUCAGUACCUGGAUGCGAGACCACAUGGGAAAGCUAGGUUGCUGCUGGAA